rnacentral:rRNA from 1 species
UACAGAGGGUGCAAGCGUUAAUCGGAAUUACUGGGCGUAAAGCGUGCGUAGUCGGCCAUUCAAGUCGGGUGUGAAAGCCCCGGGCUCAACCUGGAAUUGCAUUCGGAUACUGUGUGGCUAGAGUUCGGCAGAGGGAAGUGGAAUUCUGGUGUAGCGGUGAAAUGCGUAGAUAUCAGGAGGAACACCUGUGGUGUAGACAGCUUACUGGACCAUAACUGACGCUGAGGCACGAAAGCGUGGGUAGCAAACAGG